CGGCAGCGCGGGGGCAACCCUGGCGGCGAGUGGCGGACGGGUGAGGAACACAUAGGAAUCUACCUCAACGUGGGGGAUAACGUAGGGAAACUUACGCUAAUACCGCAUACGACCGAGAGGGGAAAGCGGCGAACGCAGGCGUCGCGCGGUGAGAUGAGCCUAUGUCCGAUUAGCUAGUUGGCGGGGUAAGAGCCCCCCCAAGGGCGACGAUCGGUAGCUGGUCUGAGAGGAUGAUCAGCCCCCCCUGGAACUGAGACACGGUCCCGACUCCUACGGGAGGCAGCAGUGGGGAAUAUUGGACAAUGGGCGCAAGCCUGAUCCAGCAAUGCCGCGUGGGUGAGGAAGGCCUUCGGGUUGUAAAGCCCUUUUGUACGGGAAGAAAUCCUGUCGGUUAAUACCCGGCGGGGAUGACGGUACCGUAAGAAUAAGCACCGGCUAACUUCGUGCCAGCAGCCGCGGUAAUACGAAGGGUGCAAGCGUUAAUCGGAAUUACUGGGCGUAAAGCGUGCGUAGGCGGUUCGUUAAGUCUGUCGUGAAAGCCCUGGGCUCAACCUGGGAAUGGCGAUGGAU
rnacentral:rRNA from 1 species